rfam:Bacterium SCN 62-11 ABS71_C0424, whole genome shotgun sequence.
GGUCGCCUGCAGAGUAGGUGUUGGAGCUUACAAUCCUGGGCCAAUGUAACAACCUCGGAUGUGAUGAGCUAUCCCUGUGUCGAGUGCCGCGGUGCGGAGUCCUGACGGGGUAGCCCAAGGUCGCGUCCACCUGCUUUGAGCAGGUCCAGGGGUUCAAGCUCGCCACCGCUCAGGUGGGUCCCUG